CCUACGGGGGGCAGCAGUAGGGAAUCUUCCACAAUGGGCGAAAGCCUGAUGGAGCAACGCCGCGUGGGUGAAGAAGGUCUUCGGCUCGUAAAACCCUGUUGUUAGAGAAGAAAGUGCGUGAGAGUAACUGUUCACGUUUCGACGGUAUCUAACCAGAAAGCCACGGCUAACUACGUGCCAGCAGCCGCGGUAAUACGUAGGUGGCAAGCGUUAUCCGGAUUUAUUGGGCGUAAAGGGAACGCAGACGGUCUUUUAAGUCCGAUGUGAAAGCCUUGGGCUUAACCGGCGUAGUGCAUUGGAAACUGGGAGAGUUGAGUGCAGGAGAGGAGAGUGGAACUCCAUGUGUAGCGGUGAAAUGCGUAGAUAUCACACGGAACACCGAUGGCGAAGGCAGCUCACGGAUCCGCGAUUGACGCUGAUGCACGAAAGCGUGGGUAUCAAACAGGAUUAGAUACCCUUGUAGUC
rnacentral:rRNA from 1 species